rnacentral:rRNA from 1 species
GAGAUAGCUGGUUCUCCCCGAAAUAGCUUUAGGGCUAGCGUCGGAAUGAACCCAUGUGAAGGUAGAGCACUGAAUGUGUGAUGGCCCCAUCCCGGGGUACUGAAUACAAUCAAACUCCGAAUGUCAUGUGGGAUGUCCGGCAGUCAGACUGUGAGUGAUAAGGUCCAUGGUCGAGAGGGAAACAGCCCAGACCGCCAGUUAAGGUCCCAAAAUGCAGGCUAAGUGGAAAAGGAUGUGGGGAUGCCCAGACAACUAGGAGGUUGGCUCAGAAGCAGCCACCCUUUAAAGAGUGCGUAACAGCUCACUAGUCGAGUGACCCUGCGCCGAAAAUGUACCGGGGCUAAGCCUGAUACCGAAACUGCGGAAUCGAAUGAUUGGUAGGGGAGCGUUGUAUACGGGUGGAAGCCGUACCGUGAGGAGCGGUGGACUGUAUAGAAGUGAGAAUGCCGGUGUGAGUAGCGAGAUGUAGGUGAGAAUCCUACACACCGAAAGCCCAAGGAUUCCAGGGGAAGGUUCGUCCGCCCUGGGUAAGUCGGGACCUAACGCGAGGCCGAAAGGCGUAGUGGAUGGAAAGCAGGCGGAGAUUCCUGCACCCGUAUGUGGAGCGAUGGAGUGACGGAGACGGCUAAUGUGACCCUCUUAACGGAUUGAGGGCGAAGCGGGGUAGCGGUCGACCAGGCAAAUCCGGUCGGCAAAACGCGAAGACGUGACAGGGAAGCGAACGCUUUGGCAAGUAGCGAAGCACAUGAGGCCGGCUUCCAAGAAAAGCUUCUGGCAAUGCACAUGCGGCCCGUACCACAAACCGACACAGGUGGGCAGGUAGAGGAUACCAAGGUGAGCGAGAGAACUGUUGCCAAGGAACUCGGCAAAAUGGCUCCGUACGUUCGCAAGAAGGAGCGCUUAUGAAAAUAAGCCGCAGUGAAUAGGCCCAAGCGACUGUUUAACUAAAACACAGCUCUCUGCGAAGUCGCAAGACGAAGUAUAGGGGGUGACACCUGCCCGGUGCCGGAAGGUUAAGAGGAUCUGUCAAUCGCAAGAUGAAGCAGUGAAUUGAAGCCCCGGUGAACGGCGGCCGUAACUAUAACGGUCCUAAGGUAGCGAAAUUCCUUGUCAGGUAAGUUCUGACCCGCACGAAAGGUGUAACGAUUUGGGCGCUGUCUCGGCAGCAGGCUCGGUGAAAUCUUAGUACCUGUGAAAAUGCAGGUUACCCGCAACUAGACGGAAAGACCCCAUGGAGCUUUACUGUAGCCUGGUAUUGGAUUUUGGUCAGACAUGUACAGGAUAGGUGGGAGACUGUGAGACGUGCACGCCAGUGUACGAGGAGUCGCCGUUGGGAUACCACUCUUGUGUGAUCGGAGUUCUAACCUGGUGGCCUGAACCGGCCAUAGGGAGAGUGCCAGGUGGGCAGUUUGACUGGGGCGGUCGCCUCCCAAAGAGUAACGGAGGCGCCCAAAGGUACGCUCAGAUUGGAUGGAAACCAAUCGCCGAGUGCAAAUGCAGAAGCGUGCUUGACUGUGAGAGCAACAACUCGAACAGGGACGAAAGUCGGGAUUAGUGAUCCGGCGGUGCCGAAUGGAAG